UACGUAGGUGGCGAGCGUUGUCCGGAUUUACUGGGCGUAAAGGGAGCGUAGGCGGACUUUUAAGUGAGAUGUGAAAUACCCAGGCUCAACUUGGGUGCUGCAUUUCAAACUGGAAGUCUAGAGUGCAGGAGAGGAGAAUGGAAUUCCUAGUGUAGCGGUGAAAUGCGUAGAGAUUAGGAAGAACACCAGUGCCGAAGGCGAUUCUCUGGACUGUAACUGACGCUGAGGCUCGAAAGCGUGGGGAGCAAACAGGAUUAGAUA
rnacentral:rRNA from 1 species